UACGGAGGGUGCAAGCGUUGUCCGGAUUUAUUGGGUUUAAAGGGUGCGUAGGCGGCUCUUUAAGUCAGUGGUGAAAUCCUACAGCUUAACUGUAGAACAGCCAUUGAUACUGAAGAGCUUGAGUACAGACGAGGUAGGCGGAAUUUAUGGUGUAGCGGUGAAAUGCAUAGAUAUGACCCGGAACACCUAUUGCGAAGGCAGCAGGCUAAACAAAUAUUGACGCUGAGGCUCGAAAGCGUGGGGAUCAAACAGG
rnacentral:rRNA from 1 species